rnacentral:rRNA from 1 species
UACGUAGGGUGCGAGCGUUGUCCGGAAUUACUGGGCGUAAAGCGUGCGCAGGCGGUUCGUCGUGUCUGAUGUGAAAGCCCCGGGCUCAACCUGGGAAUGGCAUUGGAAGCUGGCGGACUAGAGUGUGGCAGAGGGGGGUGGAAUUCCGCGUGUAGCAGUGAAAUGCGUAGAGAUGCGGAGGAACACCGAUGGCGAAGGCAGCCCCCUGGGCUAACACUGACGCUCAGGCACGAAAGCGUGGGGAGCGAACAGG